UACGGAGGGAGCUAGCGUUGUUCGGAAUUACUGGGCGUAAAGCGCACGUAGGCGGCUAUUCAAGUCGGGGGUGAAAGCCCGGGGCUCAACCCCGGAACUGCCCUCGAAACUAGGUAGCUAGAAUCUUAGAGAGGCGAGUGGAAUUCCGAGUGUAGAGGUGAAAUUCGUAGAUAUUCGGAAGAACACCAGUGGCGAAGGCGACUCGCUGGACAAGUAUUGACGCUGAGGUGCGAAAGCGUGGGGAGCAAACAGG
rnacentral:rRNA from 1 species